rnacentral:tRNA from 1 species
GAGCCGGUAGCUCAGUCGGUAGAGCACGAGACUUUUAAUCUUGGGGUCGUGGGUUCGAGUCCCACCCGGCUCACCA